GACAGGAAGAGACACCGACCAAGCCGUAGUCCAUACAUUUCAAGUCUGAACCUUCUCCAAGUAUCUGAAUCACACCUAUAUCGGAAGGAUCAGAAUCAUAAUCAAACGAAUGGGCCUCUGGAAGUGUGAUUGGUGCUGAUCUUUACCUUGUGACAUUGCAUAAUAAUUUUAUUCUGCUGGGUGAAAAGAGCCCCUACACGCGAAGGUCAAAGAGAUUUGCUCUAAGGUGAUCAGGAGGAAGUGUAUGCUGUAUUAAGUAAAGAUCAGAAAGAAAUGAAAUUUUGAGUGUCGUGCACGGAGAUGUUUCAAGCUAAGGAGGAGAAUAGAUCAACAGGCUUGGAGUGAGCAGUGGGUUCAACCCAAUUCCCACAUCGAAAAGAUAAAAAAGAUUUGUCUUGAAUAUAAGCAGCCAAACAACUCCAUUAGUAUGAGGCCUUUUGGGAGGAGCCUGGAAACAAAUCCGUGUGAGCUUGGCCACAGCUAACUUUAGCUUUUUGCUUGUAUACAAAUAUUUGUUACAAUGUUAUUUGAUGAUAUUAUGAUAUUGCAGAUUGAUUUAUUU